UCUCUAAGACAUUUUGAGGGACAAUUCCCAGAAGCCUCAGUCAGCUGAGGCAAUUCUGGGUGCGGGAGGAGCAAAAUCAUGGAGUUGGAGAGGAAAAUGCUACCCUUGGGGAGCAGGAGCCAAGGGCUGGGCAGCAGAAAUGAGGGACUGGGAGCAAAGCACAAUCUUUGACCCAUAUGAGAGCCAGUGGCCCGAAUCCUCAGCUGAAGAGGCAAAGCGGCUGAAAGCAGCAUGGGUGGGGUUUGGCUCCUUUUUUGUGUUGUGGGGCAGCUCAAGCCUUUUUCCUUUGCAUCUUGCAGGAGGCUCUGGAGAUGUUGCUCUCAGGGGGUCCUCCAACAGCUCAAGACCAUCCCUUGGCUGAUUAUCAUUACGCAGGCUCUGAUAGAUGGACACCUGAGGAGAAGGAGGCCUUCCAAAAGGCUUUCCACACCUAUGGCAAGGAUUUCCAUCUCAUCCAGAAGCAGGUAAAGCCACAGGACAUUCCUCACCUUGGCAGAUCAUCAGAAGGGACAUGUUGAUUAUUGCUGGUACCAAAUACUGCACCUAUGUCCCUCUUUUCUCAAAACUGUUAAAGUAGUCACAAAAUAGGACAUGGAAGGCCUGUGUGAAAAUGAUGAUCCUGCCUCUGCAACCCUUCUCUCCAGGCUGUUUUGGAAGACAAAGCUCUGUUCUGUUAGACUUGUCUCCCAGGUGUGCUGCUGCUUCCACAACACCUUGUGCUGGGAUAACUGUAGUGAACGGGGCAAAGAAGAACUCUGCUAGAGGGACUUGGUGUUGAUCUGUGCAUUACACGUGGUGCCACGUAGCACAAUACUCGGUUUAUUACAUUGCAUAAUGCCUCUCUGACUCCUGCAUAUUGAUUUCAUUUUACACCCUCCUCAAUUUUCUCCAUCAUUUUAAUUCCUACUUUACUCUGUAUUAUCAUUGUUCUCCAAUGCACCCUAUAGGAUGGCUGUUUCAGAUUCCUUCUUUUUCUCUUCACAACAGAUCCCGAGUAAGACCAUGGCACAGUGUGUGGAGUAUUACUACUGCUGGAAAAAAGAGCAGAAACUUACCAGCAGCACUCUUACUCAGUGGGCAAACGGAAGAGGAGGAAAAGCCCUCCCAGGAAGGAGACUGGGGAGACAGGGAAGAGAAGCCGCAAGCGGGCUGGCAGCGCGGA